GCCUGGGUGGCUCAGUCGGCUGAGCUUCUGACUUCAGCUCGGGUCACGAUCCUACAGGUUCGUGAGUUCGAGCCCCACCUCGGGCU
rnacentral:tRNA from 1 species